GUGAAUCAUCGAAUUUUUGAACGCAAAUUGCACUUUCUGGUAUUCCGGAAAGUAUGCCUGUUUGAGGGUCAGUUAAAUAAAAAUCGGUGUUGUUGCUGCCUUUCGUGGUGACGCGUCGGAAUUGGGUCGUCUUACCUUCGGUUAGGGAAUUAAAAUUUUUGCAUGGAUUUUGAACGGAAUUUAAUUGCCUAACUAAGUUUGAGA
rnacentral:misc_RNA from 1 species